AGUCAACAUGCCCAGGGGACGUGGAUAACCUCGGGAAACUGAGGAUAAACCGCGAUAGGUCACUACUUCUGGAAUGGGUAAUGACUCAAACCUAUAUGGCCCCUGGAUUGGACUGCGGCCGAUCAGGCUGUUGGUGAGGUAAUGGCCCACCAAACCUGUAACCGGUACGGGCUCUGAGAGGAGGAGCCCGGAGAUGGGCACUGAGACAAGGGCCCAGGCCCUAUGGGGCGCAGCAGGCGCGAAACCUCUGCAAUAGGCGAAAGCCUGACAGGGUUACUCUGAGUGAUCUCCGUUAAGGAGAUCUUUUGGCACCUCUAAAAAUGGUGCAGAAUAAGGGGUGGGCAAGUCUGGUGUCAGCCGCCGCGGUAAUACCAGCACCCCGAGUGGUCGGGACGUUUAUUGGGCCUAAAGCAUCCGUAGCCGGUUCUACAAGUCUUCCGUUAAAUCCAGCUGCUUAACAGAUGGGCUGCGGAAGAUACUAUGGAGCUAGGAGGCGGGAGAGGCAAGCGGUACUCGAUGGGUAGGGGUAAAAUCCGUUGAUCCAUUGAAGACCACCAGUGGCGAAGGCGGCUUGCCAGAACGCGCUCGACGGUGAGGGAUGAAAGCUGGGGGAGCAAACCGGAUUAGAUACCCGGGUAGUCCCAGCUGUAAACGAUGCAGACUCGGUGAUGAGUUGGCUACAUGCCAUCUCAGUGCCGCAGGGAAGCCGUUAAGUUUGCCGCCUGGGGGAGUACGGUCGCAAGACUGAAACUUAAAGGAAUUGGCGGGGGAGCACCACAAGGGGUGAAGCCUGCGGUU
rnacentral:rRNA from 2 species